rnacentral:rRNA from 1 species
CAGUAGCCGCGGUAAUACGUAGGGUGCGAGCGUUAAUCGGAAUUACUGGGCGUAAAGCGUGCGCAGGCGGUUGUGUAAGACAGGUGUGAAAUCCCCGGGCUUAACCUGGGAACUGCGCUUGUGACUGCACAGCUAGAGUAUGGCAGAGGGGGGUGGAAUUCCUGGUGUAGCAGUGAAAUGCGUAGAGAUCAGGAGGAACACCGAUGGCGAAGGCAGCCCCCUGGGCCUGUACUGACGCUCAUGCACGAAAGCGUGGGGAGCAUACAGGAUUAGAUACCCCCGUAGUCCCUGUCUCUUAUAC